rnacentral:rRNA from 1 species
CCGGCUAACUACGUGCCAGCAGCCGCGGUAAUACGUAGGGUGCGAGCGUUAAUNGGAAUUACUGGGCGUAAAGCGUGCGCAGGCGGUUCGUUAAGACAGAUGUGAAAUCCCCGGGCUUAACCUGGGAACUGCAUUUGUGACUGGCGAGCUAGAGUAUGGCAGAGGGGGGUAGAAUUCCACGUGUAGCAGUGAAAUGCGUAGAGAUGUGGAGGAAUACCGAUGGCGAAGGCAGCCCCCUGGGCCAAUACUGACGCUCAUGCACGAAAGCGUGGGGAGCAAACAGGAUUAGAUACCCUGGUAGUCCACGCCCUAAACGAUGUCAACUAGUUGUUGGGUCUUCAUUGACUUAGUAACGUAGCUAACGCGUGAAGUUGACCGCCUGGGGAGUACGGUCGCAAGAUUAAAACUCAAAGGAAUUGACGGGGACCCGCACAAGCGGUGGAUGAUGUGGAUUAAUUCGAUGCAACGCGAAAGACCUUACCUACCCUUGACAUGGUCGGAACCCUGCUGAAAGGUGGGGGUGCUCGAAAGAGAACCGAUACACAGGUGCUGCA